GCUACCUUAUUCUUCCUCUUUAUCAUCAUCUUCUUCUUUAAAUUGUCGUUCCCGUCCAUCGCUCGCGCUGUCAUACGUCACCAUUGCCCACGUUGUCCCGCGCUACCACGACCAGUCACCGUCGCGCAUCAAAUUGUCGUCGCCAGAACCACUAUUUGGAGGAGUAAAAGUAACCACUAUUUGGAGGAGUAAACGUAACCAAGGUAUAAUGCGCCAACCAACGAAGUUACAAUGUGGUUUCUUUUCUAAAUAGUUCGAAUUUGACUCAACCUCUACGUAGUAAGAAGGCUAAAGAGACCAGGCUCGAGUCGAUGAAGAAGGAAACUAUGCUCGAGAUAGUUGUAAGAUUAAAAAAAAACGGAUAAGAUCAACAUAGGAACAAGGUCAUUUCGCCCCUACUCCUACCUGAGGAGUCUGGAUAGUUGAGUCAUCACAAGAAAGCGAAAGAAAGGGGAGGAAAAGAAGAAGGGAUAAGAAGAAGUUAGGAUUUUGAAAGAAAAGAAGAACAGAGAAAUCGGCUGCCUCAAAUCUGCCGUUGGAGAUCGAAUCAAAGGCAAGAAACUUCAAAUCAAGACUCCUCUUGGUGCUAGAAGAAGAGCUUGGGGAGUGGACUCGCCCAUUCCGACUAGAAAAUCCGAGAAUGGACAAGAUCUAAGGAGUUUCUUGAACAAUAGAUCUGGAGUUUUGAGGUGUCUAAUCAAAAGAGGAUUCACACAGGUUUCUUGAAGAAAUCUCGAACAAAAAUUGGAGCUUGAUCGAAAUUCGGGUGAACUGGUCAAGAAUAGAAAACGUGAGUUUUUCGGUAUCUUUGAAUGGAUUUAAUUCAUUCUAUAUUCAAGAGAAAAAUAAAAGAAAAAUAUGUCGAUGUAGGUGAAUAAAAAAUUUACGACUUUGGUGAAGAAACCAAGUCAAUCCAAAUUAUGUGCGAAAAGUUACGAAAAUCUGAACUUCGAUGUAGGUGACUGAACUUGAUAGGAAUUUAGUAUAGGUAAAUAGAGAGUUUUGAGAGAUUUUCUCAAUUUUUUUUGAAGCCAACUUUCCAGUAAGUUGAUCACUCUAUUUAUAUAGUCAUAUUUGCGUGU